rnacentral:rRNA from 1 species
AUUGGACGCUGGCGGCAUGCCUUACACAUGCAAGUCGAACGGCAGCACGGGAGCAAUCCUGGUGGCGAGUGGCGAACGGGUGAGUAAUGUAUCGGAACGUACCUUUCAGUGGGGGAUAACGUAGCGAAAGUUACGCUAAUACCGCAUAUUCUGUGAGCAGGAAAGCAGGGGAUCGCAAGACCUUGCGCUGAUUGAGCGGCCGAUAUCAGAUUAGCUAGUUGGUGAGGUAAAGGCUCACCAAGGCGACGAUCUGUAGCGGGUCUGAGAGGAUGAUCCGCCACACUGGAACUGAGACACGGUCCAGACUCCUACGGGAGGCAGCAGUGGGGAAUUUUGGACAAUGGGCGCAAGCCUGAUCCAGCCAUGCCGCGUGAGUGAAGAAGGCCUCGG